UUUGAUUAUUGAGGAAAAAAAAAAGAAUAAACUUCCUUCUGUCAUCUAUUUACAGGAACGCCGUCUUCCGCUCUCGAGUGUGUAGACACAGAAGUGUUAUCAAUAUCAGCAGACAGCCCACCCUCUACAGAACAAUGUCUGAGGUUUCUUACAAUGGCAGCCUGCUUAUUUGAAAAGGAAACCACUAAUUACAAACAAAUUAAAAGUGUGCUUUCCAUUGUUGGAAAUAAAGUUAAUGAUAUCUUAAGAAGUGGCGUUUUAAGGAACUGCACUUUCAACGUUCAAAAAGAAAUAGUUUUAAUUCAAGAACUUCGUAAUUCCACUUGCCAACAGCUUCAGACACAAGAGGAGGAUGAGCCACUCUGCACGGGGCACGGAUAUGGGCUCGUUAGAUGUAGCAAAGGUGGUGCCUUAUCAAUGAGAGCCAGGCCUUUAGAAUUCCUGUCAUUCCUUUUAUUUCUUGUGGUUUUAUUUUUUGACAUUCCAUCAGAUUAUUUACCGGAUUUCUCUCAAGAUCGGCGAAAUUUUGUAAAACAAAAAAAGUGAUGUCAGCAAAUAAGAUAAUAUAAUUUAUCAUAUUUCAAAAGACAGACAUUUCAACUCCUGAUUGCAACUGUGAUAUUAUAAUGGGUUUGUAGAUAACGAACAGUUAGCAAGCUAAAAAGUUCAUUGAAACAAUACAAAUCGGGAGCAGGGCAAACACUGACCACUCAAACAUCAGAGGGGGAUCAGGUGCCAAUAGGGAGUAAGCAUUCCCUUCCAACUGGUCACACUCACAAUAUGCUCCUUGUAAUGAUUGGGCAAACGGAUUAUCUUCAGAAAUUCCAGCGUGUAAUAAUGGACAAUUGAUUUCUAUUAAAAACUUCAGUCAACAUUCGAUCCAACGAUGUAUUGCAUUUAAUAACAAAGACAUUAUAUUGACGAUACCUUUUGUAAAGGCAAAACUGAUGAUAUUGUUGUGUCUUCAACCUAGUUUUAAUAGAUUGCCUCGUCUUGGAAAGUUUUUA